UAACAAAUAGCUUGGUGUUCCUUCCAGUU
rnacentral:piRNA from 1 species